UGCAAGUCGAGCGGACAGAUGGGAGCUUGCUCCCUGAUGUUAGCGGCGGACGGGUGAGUAACACGUGGGUAACCUGCCUGUAAGACUGGGAUAACUCCGGGAAACCGGGGCUAAUACCGGAUGCUUGAUUGAACCGCAUGGUUCAAUUAUAAAAGGUGGCUUUUAGCUACCACUUACAGAUGGACCCGCGGCGCAUUAGCUAGUUGGUGAGGUAACGGCUCACCAAGGCAACGAUGCGUAGCCGACCUGAGAGGGUGAUCGGCCACACUGGGACUGAGACACGGCCCAGACUCCUACGGGAGGCAGCAGUAGGGAAUCUUCCGCAAUGGACGAAAGUCUGACGGAGCAACGCCGCGUGAGUGAUGAAGGUUUUCGGAUCGUAAAACUCUGUUGUUAGGGAAGAACAAGUACCGUUCGAAUAGGGCGGUACCUUGACGGUACCUAACCAGAAAGCCACGGCUAACUACGUGCCAGCAGCCGCGGUAAUACGUAGGUGGCAAGCGUUGUCCGGAAUUAUUGGGCGUAAAGCGCGCGCAGGCGGUUUCUUAAGUCUGAUGUGAAAGCCCCCGGCUCAACCGGGGAGGGUCAUUGGAAACUGGGGAACUUGAGUGCAGAAGAGGAGAGUGGAAUUCCACGUGUAGCGGUGAAAUGCGU
rnacentral:rRNA from 1 species